GGUAUUUUUAAGGCCUGACUGGUGGCAUUGGUGCCCAUUGCUUUACUGUGCUGUUGGAUGUGUAUGUGGGCUAUCCCUUGUACCUGACAUUUGACUGGGCAUCACUGUGUUGCUAUGGUAUGAUCCUGGUAGUUGUUGUUAAUAAAACAAUAACAAAUUCAAAUUCAAACAUUGCUGCAUUCUUCUGUCACUGAGGAUUCCAAACCUGCACUCAGUCUCCUCAUUACUUUGGUACUGAACAGACAAACUUUGGAGCUCCUGCAAACUUUAUUCACAAACUGCAACUAUUUUACACAAAUCUGCGACUGACAACAAGCACAGAGACUUCAAACAAUCACUGAAAGAAACCAAAUCCUGCGUCUUUGCCUUGACAGACGCCUAAAAUGGCUCGAGCUGUGGCAAAGGAGAAGCUCCCACACUCAUCCAGUGGAGACUGUUGUGCUCUGGACAAUGAAGUUCCCGCUUUCAUGUUCAGACCUAUCAGCGCACCUGCAUGUGAGCUCCCAAGUCCUCCACCUGCUGAUGCCAGCUUUCAUUCAAAGGACACAAACAAGAUCAUUCACCCAGAUUUGAAAAAUGAUCGUUCAUCCCUGGAUGAUGAAGUGGCGUUUUU